rnacentral:rRNA from 1 species
AUACGGAGGUGGCUAGCGUUGUUCGGAAUUACUGGGCGUAAAGCGCGCGUAGGCGGACCUGUAAGUCGGGGGUGAAAGCCCGAGGCUCAACCUCGGAACUGCCUUCGAUACUACAGGUCUUGAGUCCGAGAGAGGUGAGUGGAAUUCCUAGUGUAGAGGUGAAAUUCGUAGAUAUUAGGAAGAACACCAGUGGCGAAGGCGGCUCACUGGCUCGGUACUGACGCUGAGGUGCGAAAGCGUGGGGAGCAAACAGGAUUAGAAACCCCAGUAGUCC